GCUGUAGCUCUGUGGUAGAGCAUUUGUCUUACAUGCAGGGGGUCCCUGGUUUGAUCACCAGCAUCUCCA